UACGUAGGGUGCGAGCGUUGUCCGGAUUUAUUGGGCGUAAAGAGCUCGUAGGCGGUUUGUCGCGUCGGCCGUGAAAUCUCCACGCUUAACGUGGAGCGUGCGGUCGAUACGGGCAGACUUGAGUUCGGUAGGGGAGACUGGAAUUCAUGGUGUAGCGGUGAAAUGCGCAGAUAUCAGGAGGAACACCGGUGGCGAAGGCGGGUCUCUGGGCCGAUACUGACGCUGAGGAGCGAAAGCGUGGGGAGCGAACAGG
rnacentral:rRNA from 1 species